rnacentral:rRNA from 1 species
AGAGUUUGAUCCUGGCUCAGGAUGAACGCUGGCGGCGUGCUUAACACAUGCAAGUCGAACGAAGAUAUUUAGAAUGAGAGCUUCGGCAGGAUUUCUUUCUAUCUUAGUGGCGGACGGGUGAGUAACGUGUGGGCAACCUGCCCUGUACUGGGGAAUAAUCAUUGGAAACGAUGACUAAUACCGCAUGUGGUCCUCGGAAGGCAUCUUCUGAGGAAGAAAGGAUUUAUUCGGUACAGGAUGGGCCCGCAUCUGAUUAGCUAGUUGGUGAGAUAACAGCCCACCAAGGCGACGAUCAGUAGCCGACCUGAGAGGGUGAUCGGCCACAUUGGGACUGAGACACGGCCCAAACUCCUACGGGAGGCAGCAGUGGGGAAUAUUGCACAAUGGGCGAAAGCCUGAUGCAGCAACGCCGCGUGAAGGAUGAAGGGUUUCGGCUCGUAAACUUCUAUCAAUAGGGAAGAAACAAAUGACGGUACCUAAAUAAGAAGCCCCGGCUAACUACGUGCCAGCAGCCGCGGUAAUACGUAGGGGGCAAGCGUUAUCCGGAUUUACUGGGUGUAAAGGGAGCGUAGACGGCGAUGCAAGUCUGAAGUGAAAUACCCGGGCUCAACCUGGGAACUGCUUUGGAAACUGUAUGGCUAGAGUGCUGGAGAGGUAAGCGGAAUUCCUAGUGUAGCGGUGAAAUGCGUAGAUAUUAGGAAGAACACCAGUGGCGAAGGCGGCUUUCUGGACUGAAACUGACGCUGAGGCUCGAAAGCGUGGGGAGCAAACAGGAUUAGAUACCCUGGUAGUCCACGCCGUAAACG